AUUGAACGCUGGCGGCAGGCCUAACACAUGCAAGUCGAACGAGUGGCGGACGGGUGAGUAAUGUCUGGGAAACUGCCUGAUGGAGGGGGAUAACUACUGGAAACGGUAGCUACUACCGCAUACCAUCGGAUGUGCCCAGAUGGGAUUAGCUAGUUGGUGGGGUAACGGCUCACCUAGGCGACGAUCCCUAGCUGGUCUGAGAGGAUGACCGGCCACACGGGAACUGAGACACGGGCCAGACUCCUACGGGAGGGAGCAGUGGGGAAUAUUGCACAAUGGGCGCAAGCCUGAUGCAGCCAUGCCGCGUGUAUGAAGAAGGCCUUCGGGUUGUAAAGUACUUUCAGCGGGGAGGCGUUACCCGCAGAAGAAGCACCGGCUAACUCCGUGCCAGCCGCCGCGGUAAUUC
rnacentral:rRNA from 1 species